AAUGGCCGCAAACUACAACUCAAUCGAAUAAAAAAAAACCGUAGAAAUGCCGUGUGGAAACAAGGCACUUCAAAUACAUAUGUUACACUGCCAGUUCAGCAAUUGACUUGGUAUCUGCACUGGAGCAACCCAUUCCAUUGUAUACAUUCUAGUGGUAUCCUAGUAGUAUUUGCGUAUCUUCUGUAAUCCUUAUUCAACUAAUCAAAACUCAGUGGCCUAAACCUAUGACUUUAUAAG
rnacentral:misc_RNA from 1 species